UCUGCUUCUUCCAUCAGCAACUGGAUGAAGGCUCUAGGAUGGCAAACAAGGUUUGGACAUCAUACAUGUUUGAAACAUGUUGAAACACAUGUUUCAAGUUUAAAAAAAAAAGCAUGAAGGAACAGUGAUGACAUACAGUAUUGGGAAAAUAAGGCCACUAUGACUGAACCAAAGAAACUGAGAAUGAAAACUUGUAUGAACCUGAAAAACCAAGAUUCCAGGAAAUGCCAUGAUCUUCUGCACGAUGGUCAUCCUUACAUGUACCAAAUGACUGCUGCAGUUUUUAUUAUGCUGUUCAUUGCUUCAUUUCUAAACAAGACUAUCAACAGCACCAGAAAGCAAGAUGGCAGGAAGAAGAUUGCCUUGGAAAAUCUUCAUGUGCUCUGAGCUCACUGCGAGACUGGCAAUGAAAGUGCAACAACUCGCCAAUGCAUCACUGCACCAAGCUCAAGUGUGUUUCUGUCAAGUGUCUUCCAAGACCCUUUUGGGGUGUGCUAGACUCUUACAUGUUACAGAGAGAGAAGAAAACUGCAAACAACCCAGCAGUAAAAGUAUUGUGCCUUAGUGUAUGGAAUAGUGUAUUUUUCCAACAGAAGUUGCUAUUGUGUAUCCCUUAGUAUAAACGUGCAUUCAAUGGGAAAGGGCAGCCAGGAAUUUAAAUAAGGGAAGCUGUCCAUGGAGAAAGUUCAAUUGGAAACUACAGCUGGAUGACUCAGUUUCCCCAGUUAGCUUUUGCUGGAGACUGUAAGCACUUGGUUUGAUGAUGUUAUCUCUAUGUGUUGCUGUUUGCUCCUUUACUUUAAAGACUCAUCAGCGGGGAUACAUUGCUCUGCCAUAAUGUCUUAAAGGACCUUACCCACUCUAUUUCUAGCAGUUGUUUUGAACACCUAAUUUGAGAUCUUCUUCUUCUUCUUCUUCUUCUUCUUCUUCUUCUUCUUCUUCUUCUUCUUCUUCUUCUUCUUCUUCUUCUCCUUCCUCUUCACUUCUUCUUUACUAUCAUAUGUUAUUUCUUUACUUUGGGUUGAUAUAUAUUUAAUAAGAUCAUUCAUUCACAACAAAAUAAUAUUGUUAUGGAUGAUUUCUCAGGACUCUGUAGAAAGAAAGUGAGAGGGUAGGAGAAAGGACAGAGCUGUAAGUAUGGAAUAGAAGAGAUUUUCUGCCAGGGAAAACUAAUUCUGAAGGUGUCCAGAGAAUGGUCCUUCUUCACUUCCCAUUGACUAUAAUGUGACAUUCCAUUGUAAUCAUUUUGUACAUUAACUUAGCAGCCUGGGUGGAUUUCAUUGGUAUAUGUAUGUUCACAAACUGAAUGGGUGUUUCUGUAAAAGUUUAUGAAUGAGAUUAAUAUUUAACUUAUUGGAGCUGCGAAUCCAUUGUGUGUCUGGAUAGAACAGAAGGAAAAGAAAGGCAAACUUCCCCUCUCUUUCUUUCUGAACUUAUAAGUUGCUACAUUGACUGUUUGAUAGGUCAAGACUUAGAUAUCCCAGGCUGUCCUUAUACUCUACAUGUGUUCUAGGAUUGCCUGAAACUCAUAGCAAUGCUCCUUCAGUCACCCAAGCUCUAAUCUCAGAAGCCUACACCUCAGCAUCCAACUUCUUCCUCACAUUUCUCUCUUUACAUGCAAUGGAUCUCAGGUAAGUACAACACAAGUAUUUAGGGACAAGUGUAUAUUUCAUCUAUGACCUUUAAGGCUCUGUGUCUUUAGCAUGUUCUACCACAGGUCUUUUGCUUGACCUCAAUUGCUUCCUGAUUGUCUUUCUUGUGUUUGUAGUUUAUAUAACCAUGACAUGGAAUUUGCAUCUUACAUACUAAUGCAUAUGUAUUUCUCCUCAAUCUUUUAACUCUGUCUCUCCAUCUUCUCUUUGUUUCACUAGUACUACAUGAGAAGAACCAAGCCGAACAAUCCCAGUAGGAGUUUAGAACAUCCAGCAUUGCCAUUCUUUUUUUUUCCAGGAACUCCAAUCAGAGAUAAAUGACAUUGCAUUAUGUGCAGAAACUAAAAUACAAGACAAUGGUGAUUUUACCCAGGGUACACACUUUUUACCCCUCUUUCUAACCCCCAUGACAAGACACAGAGCCUUAAAGGUCAUAGAUGAAAUAUACACUUUGUCCCUAAAUACGUGUGUUGUACUUACCUGAGAUCCAUUGC